rnacentral:lncRNA from 1 species
UUAUUUAUAAAUUUGGCCUUAAGCCUUGGAGGCCAUUAUCAUAUAUUGAUGCAGCGAUUCAAGGCAUUGGGGAAUUCCAUGUGCACUUAAUAUGGAUCAUAUGUUUUAUGUUGGAUGGGAAAUUGCAAACACAUUUCUUUUUUCCGGAUGUGUUACCAAAGGUAAGAAGAUGUUUCGGUAUCCAUUUUUUAUAACCUCUUCUAUCGUUAGUUGAAUGAUUAUAAUAAAUUAAUAUACAAAAUCCCUUUUGAUUUUCUUUUAUAAAAUAAUUAAUAAACAAAUUUAGAGCUGGUGUAGUUCUUGCCUUCCUACCUGCUUCUUAUCAGCUUUAAUCAUUUGUUUGUUUGGCUGGCUAUCUGGCAUGUUUUUUUACCACAUUUUCAAUUAUAUGAUUUUUUUUCCAGCAGGAUUAUGGUCCUCCGCUACAUGCAAUGGAUCUGAAUCUUGGGUACUUUCAACUACCUAUUUCUAAUACAUAUUGGCCGAUAAAAGUAUCAAAAAUAAAGAAUUCUGUAUUAGAAAUUAAG